UCAUAAACUCACACGGUUAAUAACCGCAGC
rnacentral:sRNA from 1 species